CCCACACUUUUUUUUCCCAUUAUUUUACUUUGCAUGACAAGGUGAAGUAUGUCAUAUUUUUCUGGGUGAUCAUUGUACAGAACCCGCUUAUUAGAAUACAGUUUAUAGGAAUAUCCCGCUUUAAGGAACAGAAAUUUGUUAUCCCUUUCGUGGCCGGCUGACACGAUCGUGAGCUCAUGUUUAUGUGGGUAUCAAUAUCAAAAUAAACAUAUUUUUACUAGGAAAGAUGAUAUCAAUAUGUUGUGUCUAUCGUGUAUUAUCAGAGUAACUGAAAUUAUAACAAAUUCGCGCUUAGUUUGCAAUAGAAUACCCUAUAAAGAAGGCUGUGUAUUUUGACGACAAAACCGAUAAAGGUGUGCCUCUCACCCACGAUUUGGCUCUAGAGGUAUUAAAUGAUGGUAACUAGUCCGAAAUAGAAGAUUUAGAUGGCGAAAAUGAUGUUGCUUUUGACAUUCAGAUGUUUAAAAAUAACACCGAUGACAAGGAUAUUGAAGAAACUGUAUUAGAUGAAGAACCUGUAUUGGAUGAAGAACCUGUUCCUUCAACAAGCUCUUCUUCAGCAAAGAGGCAAUGGAAAGACAUGACAUUUCAGCAAAAAAUGUUUGUUCUAUUUUAGUUAGUAUGUAAUAGCAUAUUAAACAAUUAUAAAAAUAAUUUUUAUUUGGCC
rnacentral:lncRNA from 1 species